rnacentral:misc_RNA from 1 species
GAGAUCGAACGUUAAAAAGCUGUCCUCGCUGAGGAGAGACAUCUAUGAGCUCCAGCGAACCUUUGUCACCAAAGGUUACCUGGUGGACAACCGCGAGCGUAGAUAGUUAUCACACUCGUGACGCCACCAAACACUGGGAGGCUGAUUCAUUUGAGAGGAGCUGACCACAGGCCAGCAAAACCCCCAAGGUCCAAGCUCAUCACGGCAAACCAUGAGAGUUGAGGUGUUCAUGAUACUCAAACAGGCAUGCCCCUCGGAAUAGCCAAGGGGCGCAAGGUGCGUUCAAAGAUUCGAUGAUUCACUGAAUUCUGCAAUUCACAUUACUUAUCGCAUUUCGCUGCGUUCUUCAUCGAUGCGAGAGCCAAGAGAUCCGUUGCUGAAAGUUGUAUUGUAUUGCGUUAGACGCGGCAUACAUUCCAUAAGACUUUAUUACAGUGUGUGUGUAAAGACAUAGAACCACGGAAGGAAGACGGGGUCCCCCAUACCGUAGAACUACAGAGGGUGCACAGGUGUGAGUGGAUGUGUAAACAGAGCGUGCACAUGUCCCCAUUUGAGGACCAGCAACAGCCCGUUUGACAAUUCAGUAAUGAUCCUUCC